GGAGAGAUGGCUCAGUGGUUAAGAGAACUGGCCAUUCUUCUAGAGGACCUGGGUUCAAUUCCCAGUACCUACA
rfam:Mesocricetus auratus contig109131, whole genome shotgun sequence.